UACGUAGGGUGCGAGCGUUGUCCGGAAUUACUGGGCGUAAAGAGCUCGUAGGUGGUUUGUCGCGUUGUUCGUGAAAUCUCACGGCUUAACUGUGAGCGUGCGGGCGAUACGGGCAGACUGGAGUACUGCAGGGGAGACUGGAAUUCCUGGUGUAGCGGUGGAAUGCGCAGAUAUCGGGAAGAACACCCGUGGCGAAGGCGGCUCUCUGGGACGGUACUGACGCUGAGACGCGAAAAGCGUGGGGAGCGAACAGG
rnacentral:rRNA from 1 species